rnacentral:rRNA from 1 species
CGUGCCUAAUACAUGCAAGUCGAACGCACUCUCGUUUAGAUUGAAGGAGCUUGCUCCUGAUUGAUAAGCAUUUGAGUGAGUGGCGGACGGGUGAGUAACACGUGGGUAACCUGCUCUAAAGUGGGGGAUAACAUUUGGAAACAGAUGCUAAUACCGCAUAAAACCUAGCACCGCAUGGUGCAGGGUUGAAAGAUGGUUUCGGCUAUCACUUUAGGAUGGACCCGCGGUGCAUUAGUUAGUUGGUGAGGUAAAGGCUCACCAAGACCGUGAUGCAUAGCCGACCUGAGAGGGUAAUCGGCCACACUGGGACUGAGACACGGCCCAGACUCCUACGGGAGGCAGCAGUAGGGAAUCUUCCACAAUGGACGAAAGUCUGAUGGAGCAACGCCGCGUGAGUGAAGAAGGUUUUCGGAUCGUAAAACUCUGUUGUUGGAGAAGAAUGUAUCUGAUAGUAACUGAUCAGGUAGUGACGGUAUCCAACCAGAAAGCCACGGCUAACUACGUG